rnacentral:rRNA from 1 species
GACGAACGCUGGCGGCGUGCUUAACACAUGCAAGUCGAACGGAAAGGCCCUGCUUUUGUGGGGUUCUCGAGUGGCGAACGGGUGAGUAACCUGUGAGUAACCUGCCCUUUACUGUGGGAUAACUUCAGGAAACUGGGGCUAAUACCUGAUAGGAGCUCCUGCUGCAUGGUGGGGGUCGGAAAGUUUCGGCGGUGGGGGAUGGACUCGCGGCUUAUGAGCUUGUUGGUGGGGUAGUGGCUUACCAAGGCUUUGACGGAUAGCCGGCCCGAGAGGUGGACCGGCCACAAUGGGCCUGCGAUACGGACCAGACGGGUACGGGAGGCAGCAGUGGGGAAUAUUGCCCAACGGGCGGGAGCCUGUUGCAGAGACGCCGCGUGCGGAAUGAAGGCCUUGGGGUUGGAAAGCGCUUUCGCCUGUGACGAAGCGGGAUUGACGGUAAUGGGUAAAGAAGCACCGGCUAACUACGUG